UGGAGAACUACAAUUACAUCAACAAUUAGAACAUUCAAACACUUCAAACUCAAAACCCAACAAAAACAUAUCAAUCACACACAGCAAACCCAAAUCAAACACAUCUAUAUGAGCACAUUUGCUCAAUUUUUAACAAUCUCAAAUAUGUUUCUAAUGUCUUACCUUGUAAACAUACAAUUUUGUCUAAUACCUUACCUGAUAAAUACUUUUACUACAUAUGAUGCAUGUAAAGUUCUUGCUUUUAUUUAGCAGUGCAGGUUAAGGAUGGUUUUUAAGGAGGUUUGCAGAAACCCGGUCUAUUGGUUCCCGGUGGAACAUCACAGCCUACAGGAGGAAGAUCACGAGCAGCUUCAAGAGGCCAAAUUUGCAUAAAAAUCGGGAGUAAAACUACAGUGACGACUUUGCCAACGAGGAACAAAGCUUUCAUUCUUAAGGAUUGUUCAGGGAAUCAGUGACAAUAUAUACUUCGCUACUACAGCUGAUAUAAAUCUACCAAGGUUGGGAUUUUUGUAGGG
rnacentral:lncRNA from 1 species